rnacentral:rRNA from 1 species
UGGGGGAUAUUGCACAAUGGGCGAAAGCCUGAUGCAGCGACGCCGCGUGGGGGAUGAAGGCCUUCGGGUUGUAAACUUCUUUUGCUCUGAACAAGGCAUGCCUUUGGGGUGUGUUGAGUGUAGGGGUUGAUUAGCGCCGGCUAACUACGUGCCAGCAGCCGCGGUAAUACGUAGGGCGCGAGCGUUGUCCGGAAUUAUUGGGCGUAAAGGGCUUGUAGGUGGCUGGUUGCGUCUGUCGUGAAAGCUCAUGGCUUAACUGUGGGUUUGCGGUGGGUACGGGCUGGCUUGAGUGCAGUAGGGGAGGCUGGAAUUCCUGGUGUAGCGGUGGAAUGCGCAGAUAUCAGGAGGAACACCGAUGGCGAAGGCAGGUCACUGGGCCGUUACUGACACUGAGGAGCGAAAGCGUGGGGAGCGAACAGG